AUGUUCUCCUCCUCUCUGCUACUGCUACUGCUGUUGGCAGCUGUAAACAGAAUUCACUGUGUAGAGCUAACCCAGCCAGGUUCUAUGAGUGUGAAGCCUGGUCAGUCCAUGACUUUGUCCUGUAAGGUCUCUGGAUAUUCACUGACUGACAGCGGCUACUGUACUCACUGUAUACGACAGCCUGCAGGAAAAGUACUGGAAUGGGUUGGAGGUAUUUGUGGUAGUGGUGACACAUAUUACAGUGAAAAACUGAAGAACAGGUUCACCAUCUCCAGAGACAACAGUAAGAAUCAGCUCUAUCUACAGAUGAACAGUCUGAAGACUGAAGACACAGCUGUGUAUUACUGUGCC